GAUGAACGCUGGCGGCGUGCUUAACACAUGCAAGUCGAACGGAAAGGCCCUUGCUUGCAGGGGUACUCGAGUGGCGAACGGGUGAGUAACACGUGGGUGAUCUGCCCUGCACUUCGGGAUAAGCCUGGGAAACUGGGUCUAAUACCGGAUAGGACCAUCGUUUAGUGUCGGUGGUGGAAAGUUUUUUCGGUGUGGGAUGAGCUCGCGGCCUAUCAGCUUGUUGGUGGGGUAAUGGCCUACCAAGGCGUCGACGGGUAGCCGGCCUGAGAGGGUGUACGGCCACAUUGGGACUGAGAUACGGCCCAGACUCCUACGGGAGGCAGCAGUGGGGAAUAUUGCACAAUGGGCGCAAGCCUGAUGCAGCGACGCCGCGUGGGGGAUGACGGCCUUCGGGUUGUAAACUCCUUUCGUCAGGGACGAAGCGAAAGUGACGGUACCUGGAGAAGAAGCACCGGCUAACUACGUG
rnacentral:rRNA from 1 species